CCUACGGGAGGCAGCAGUGGGGAAUAUUGGGCAAUGGAGGAAACUCUGACCCAGCAACGCCGCGUGAAUGAUGAAGGUCUUCGGAUUGUAAAGUUCUUUUCUAAGGGAAGUAGAAAGUGACGGUACCUUAGGAAUAAGCCUCGGUUAACUACGUGCCAGCAGCCGCGGUAAUACGUAGGAGGCGAGCGUUAUCCGGAAUGACUGGGCGUAAAGGGUGCGUAGGUGGGUUGGCAAGUUAGUAGCGUAACUCCAAGGCUCAACCUUGGAAAUACAACUAAAACUGUUGGUCUUGAGUGCAGGAGAGGCAACCGGAAUUCGUGGUGUAGCGGUGGAAUGCGUAGAUAUUAGGAAGAACACCAGUUGCGAAGGCAGGUUACUAGACUGUAACUGACACUGAGGCACGAAAGCGUGGGGAGCAAACAGGAUUAGAUACCCGUGUAGUC
rnacentral:rRNA from 1 species